AACGAACGCUGGCGGCAUGCCUAACACAUGCAAGUCGAACGAGACCUUCGGGUCUAGUGGCGCACGGGUGCGUAACGCGUGGGAACCUGCCCUUAGGUUCGGAAUAACUCCCCGAAAGGGGUGCUAAUACCGGAUAAUGUCUUCGGACCAAAGAUUUAUCGCCUUUGGAUGGGCCCGCGUUGGAUUAGCUAGUUGGUAGGGUAAAAGCCUACCAAGGCGACGAUCCAUAGCUGGUCUGAGAGGAUGAUCAGCCACACUGGGACUGAGACACGGCACAGACUCCUACGGGAGGCAGCAGAGGGGAAUAUUGGACAAUGGGCGAAAGCCUGAUCAAGCAAUGCCGCGUGAGUGAUGAAGGCCUUAGGGUUGUAAAGCUCUUUUACCCGGGAUGAUAAUGACAGUACCGGGAGAAUAAGCACCGGCUAACUACGUG
rnacentral:rRNA from 1 species